rnacentral:lncRNA from 1 species
AAAGCCAGACUUGCUGGUUGCUAAUAUUGUUAAGGACAAAAACUUGAAAACCAUUGCUAGGUUCAUAAAAGUUGGUGAUGCUGCAAAUUUCUUGUAACCAUUCUACCUACCAAAAGAAAUACUUGAUUGAGAUGAUGACAUCAUUAUCAAACAUAUAAUAGAGGCUUUCAUCCUAAUUUCUACUGUCUGAGUGUCUGUGUGCAGGUAAAGUUCUGGUUUUGGCAUAAAAGAAAAUGGAGCAGGGGAAGGCUGGUGUGAAAGUGGGGCAUGUCCCUAGUCUUUCUAGUAGUGCUUGUACUUUCUAAGUUGUAAGUGCACUCUGCAACUUCAGACUAGAGUCUGUCCAAGAUAAGAAACUACUAGUGCGUUUGGAUUGUGUAGUGGCACAAAAUCUAUAGCACAAUAAGUCCAAACGUGAUUAUACUUGACAACUUUCCAUAAGUGAUUAUACUCGACAACUUCCCAUAUGUGAAGAACGAAACACACAAAAUCAAAGUUGUAAUACAUGUUUGGAUAUAUAGCAGAAAAUCAUAAUGACACCAAAGCCAUUGUGAACAGACGCAAAAACUAAGAUGUUGUUUUUCGUCCAAGGUAAUUUUAACUUCACUAUAAUUUUCCACUUGUAUGAAAAAAUGAACAUAGUUAAGCGGAAAUGAAGGUGUAUAUAGACAUCCACCUUUGGUAUUCUUCGGAGAGAGAUUGUAUCCCUUUAAGUUGAUGGAUUGUUUUUAGUUUGGUUAUGCUCUGCA